GACGAACGCUGGCGGCGUGCCUAACACAUGCAAGUCGAGCGGGGUUGAAGCGAGGGGUAACUCGAGUUUCUACCUAGCGGCGGACGGGUGAGUAACGCGUGGGCAACCUGCCUCAAGGACUGGGAUAACAGCUCGAAAGGGCUGCUAAUACCGGAUAAGCCUAUGGCCUCGCAUGGGGCCAUGAGCAAAGGGGAAACCCGCCUUGAGAUGGGCCCGCGUCCCAUCAGCUAGUUGGUGAGGUGAAGGCUCACCAAGGCGACGACGGGUAGCCGGCCUGAGAGGGUGACCGGCCACACUGGGACUGAGACACGGCCCAGACUCCUACGGGGGGCAGCAGUGGGGAAUCUUGCACAAUGGGCGAAAGCCUGAUGCAGCGACGCCGCGUGAGCGAAGAAGGCCUCGGUUGUAAGCUCUGUCUGGAGGGACGGAAGGAAGUAGACGGUACCGUCCGGACGGAAGCCACGGCUAACUACGUG
rnacentral:rRNA from 1 species